rnacentral:rRNA from 1 species
GAUGAACGCUAGCGGCAGGCCUAACACAUGCAAGUCGAGGGGUAGCAGGAUUAAGCUUGCUUAAUUGCUGACGACCGGCGCACGGGUGCGUAACGCGUAUGCAACCUACCUUAUACUGGGGUAUAGCCCGGAGAAAUUCGGAUUAAUCCCCCAUAGUACUAAUGAAUCGCAUGGUUUAUUAGUUAAAGCAUUGCGGUAUAAGAUGGGCAUGCGUCCUAUUAGCUAGAUGGUGAGGUAACGGCUCACCAUGGCUACGAUAGGUAGGGGGCCUGAGAGGGUGGUCCCCCACACUGGUACUGAGACACGGACCAGACUCCUACGGGAGGCAGCAGUGAGGAAUAUUGGUCAAUGGGCGCAAGCCUGGACCAGCCAUGCCGCGUGCAGGAAGAAUGCCCUAUGGGUUGUAAACUGCUUUUAUUUGGGAAUAAACCUCUUUACGUGUAGGGAGCUGAAGGUACCAAAUGAAUAAGCACCGGCUAACUCCGUGCCAGCCGCCGCGGUAA